rnacentral:lncRNA from 1 species
UGUAAUUGGUUUCGGAUAAUUUUCUUUUUGAAAUAUAAAUAUAUUACUACAUAACAUCGAAUAUGAAUAAUAGUGAUAUUUGGUUAAAGAUACCUGACUGCAGAUUAAGAACUAAUGUGUUGUUUAUUUAUAAAACUGCAAGAUUAAAUUUGACUAGAAGGUCUUUUCCUUAUCGUCUAAUUGAUAAACAGAACUUGAUAACGUGUGAUCUAUUCAACCUUAGUCGUUUGGGAUUUGCUAAAUUUCUAAAGGAAAAUGUCCUGCAUUCGAAAUAUAUGUUAUAACUGACUAUGUUGUAUGUUAUCCAUUGUUAAUUGUCUGUGAUGUAGUGAUCUUUUGUAUUAUUAUCUUUGUUUUUAUGUAUGGG